GACGAACGCUGGCGGCGUGCUUAACACAUGCAAGUCGAACGAAGUUGCGAACGGGUGAGUAAUACUUGGUUAACCUGCCCUCCUUUUUGGGAUAAGCAUUGGAAACGGGGUCUAAUACCGAAUAAAGGGGGAUGGGCUCGCGGCCUAUCAGCUUGUUGGUGGGGUGAUGGCCAACCAGGGCGGUGCCGGGUAGACGGCCUGGGAGGGUGUCCGGCCACAUUGAGAGUGAGAUACGUCCCAGACUCCUACGGGAGGCAGCAGGGGGGAAUAUUGGACAAUGGGCGAAAGCCUGAUCCAGCCAUGCCGGGUGUGUGAAGAAGGUCUUCGGAUUUUAAAGCACUUUAAGUUGGGAGGCGGUACCAACAUAAUAAGCACCGGCUAACUACGUGCCAGCAGCCGCGGUAAUUC
rnacentral:rRNA from 1 species